AUUGAACGCUGGCGGCAGGCCUAACACAUGCAAAUCGAACGGUAGCACAGAGAGCUUGCUCUCGGGUGACGAGUGGCGGACGGGUGAGUAAUGUCUGGGAAACUGCCCGAUGGAGGGGGAUAACUACUGGAAACGGUAGCUAAUACCGCAUAACGUCGCAAGACCAAAGUGGGGGACCUUCGGGCCUCACACCAUCGGAUGUGCCCAGAUGGGAUUAGCUAGUAGGUGGGGUAAUGGCUCACCUAGGCGACGAUCCCUAGCUGGUCGUGAGAGGAUGACCAGCCACACUGGAACUGAGACACGGUCCAGACUCCUACGGGAGGCAGCAGUGGGGAAUAUUGCACAAUGGGCGCAAGCCUGAUGCAGCCAUGCCGCGUGUAUGAAGAAGGCCUUCGGGUUGUAAAGUACUUUCAGCGGGGAGGAAGGCGGUGGAGUUAAUAACUUCACCGAUUGACGUUACCCGCAGAAGAAGCACCGGCUAACUCCGUGCCAGCCGCCGCAGUAA
rnacentral:rRNA from 1 species